UCCGGUUUGUCACCGGCGGUCUCCUUAGAGUUCCCACCAUUACGUGCUGGCAACUAAGGACAAGGGUUGCGCUCGUUGCGGGACUUAACCCAACAUCUCACGACACGAGCUGACGACAGCCAUGCAGCACCUGUCUCACGGUUCCCGAAGGCACUCCCUCAUCUCUGAAGGAUUCCGUGGAUGUCAAGGCCAGGUAAGGUUCUUCGCGUUGCAUCGAAUUAAACCACAUACUCCACCGCUUGUGCGGGCCCCCGUCAAUUCCUUUGAGUUUCAGUCUUGCGACCGUACUCCCCAGGCGGCGAACUUAACGCGUUAGCUUCGAUACUGAGAGCCUAAUUGCUCCCAACAUCCAGUUCGCAUCGUUUAGGGCGUGGACUAC
rnacentral:misc_RNA from 1 species